ensembl:lincRNA
GGGUUGGAUAACAUAUCUAUUUUAUAGCUUCCCCUCCUUUUCCUUUAAACAGAACAGCUGGUCAUGCUCCCUCUCUCGGACAAUAGAACUUGAAUGAGUCUAAAGAGGCCCAGAGCUUCAAAACAAAAAGUUUACCGGUAGGAGUGAAGGCUGGAGCCCUGGGCUGGUCUCCUUUGCACAAUCUUCUGCCCAGGCGGAGCC